rnacentral:rRNA from 1 species
UACGUAGGGGGCAAGCGUUGUCCGGAUUUAUUGGGCGUAAAGCGCUCGCAGGUGGUUCGUCGCGUCGUGCGUGAAAGACCCCGGCUCAACUGGGGAGUGUCGUGCGAUACGGGCGAACUGGAGGCCAGUAGGGGGAUGCGGAAUUCCGGGUGUAGUGGUGGAAUGCGUAGAGAUCCGGAGGAACACCAGCGGCGAAGGCGGCAUCCUGGACUGGUCCUGACACUCAUGAGCGAAAGCGUGGGGAGCAAACAGG